rnacentral:pre_miRNA from 1 species
AUGAUACUCCCUCUGUCCCAAAAUUCUUGUCUUGAAUUUAUCUAAAUACGGAUGUAUCAAGUCACGUUUUAGUAUUAGAAACAUCCGUAUCUAGGCAAAUCUAAGA